rnacentral:rRNA from 1 species
UACAGAGGGUGCGAGCGUUGUUCGGAAUCAUUGGGCGUAAAGAGCGUGUAGGUGGCUCGGUAAGUCCGCUGUAAAAGUCCAGGGCUCAACCCUGGAAAGCCGGUGGAAACUGUCGAGCUAGAGUCCGGAAGAGGCGAGUGGAAUUCCUGGUGUAGCGGUGAAAUGCGCAGAUAUCAGGAGGAACACCAAUGGCGAAGGCAGCUCGCUGGGACGGUACUGACACUGAGACGCGAAAGCGUGGGGAGCAAACAGG